rnacentral:lncRNA from 1 species
GCCGAAGAGCGGCUGCAGGGAGAGGUUGAGCAGCUGCAGAAGGAACUGGAGGGUCUGACGGGUCAGCUGCGGGCCCAGGUGCAGGACAAUGAGAGCCUGAGCCACCUGAACCGGGAGCAGGAGGGACGGCUGCUGGAGCUGGAGCGCGAGGCCCAGCACUGGAGCGAGCAGGCAGAGGAGCGCAAGCAGAUCCUGGAGAGCAUGCAGAGUGACCGCACCACCAUCAGCAGAGCGCUGUCACAGAAUCGCGAGCUCAAGGAGCAGCUGGCUGAGCUGCAGAACGGCUUCGUCAGGCUGACAAAUGAGAACAUGGAGAUUACCAGUGCGUUACAAUCAGAGCAGCAUGUCAAGAAAGAGCUGGCCAGGAAGCUGGGAGAGCUUCAGGAGAGGCUGGGAGAGCUGAAGGAGACGGUGGAGCUGAAGAGCCAAGAAGCACAGGGUCUGCAGGAGCAGCGAGACCAGUGCCUGUCCCACCUGCAGCAGUACGCUGCCGCCUACCAACAGCACUUGACAGCCUAUGAGCAGCUGACCUCUGAGAAGGAGGCACUGCACAAGCAGCUUCUGCUGCAGACACAGCUCAUGGACCAGUUGCAGCAUGAGGAAGUUCAGGGCAAGAUGGCAGCCGAGAUGGCCCGCCAGGAGCUGCAGGAGGCACAGGAGCGCCUAAAAGCUAGCAGCCAGGAGAACCAACAGCUCCAAGCCCAGCUGAGCCUCUUGGUCCUCCCUGGGGAAGAUAUGGACCAGGAGGAGCAAGACGAGGAGGUUCCUCAGCCCAGUCUGACCAUCCCAGAAGACCUUGUCAGUAG